UACGAAGGGGGCUAGCGUUGCUCGGAAUCACUGGGCGUAAAGCGCACGUAGGCGGAUUGUUAAGUCAGGGGUGAAAUCCUGGAGCUCAACUCCAGAACUGCCUUUGAUACUGGCGAUCUCGAGUCCGGGAGAGGUGAGUGGAACUGCGAGUGUAGAGGUGAAAUUCGUAGAUAUUCGCAAGAACACCAGUGGCGAAGGCGGCUUACUGGACCGGUUCUGACGCUGAGGCGCGAAAGCGUGGGGAGCAAACAGG
rnacentral:rRNA from 1 species